CAGUAGCCACGGUAAUACGAAGGGGGCUAGCGUUGUUCGGAAUUACUGGGCGUAAAGCGCACGUAGGCGGAUAUUUAAGUCAGGGGUGAAAUCCCAGAGCUCAACUCUGGAACUGCCUUUGAUACUGGGUAUCUUGAGUAUGGAAGAGGUGAGUGGAAUUCCGAGUGUAGAGGUGAAAUUCGUAGAUAUUCGGAGGAACACCAGUGGCGAAGGCGGCUCACUGGUCCAUUACUGACGCUGAGGUGCGAAAGCGUGGGGAGCAAACAGGAUUAGAUACCCCAGUAGUCCCUGUCUCUUAUAC
rnacentral:rRNA from 1 species